rnacentral:rRNA from 1 species
GACGGACGCUGGCGGCAUGCCUAAUACAUGCAAGUCGAGCGAACAGAUGAAGUGCUUGCACUUCUGACGUUAGCGGCGAACGGGUGAGUAACACGUAAGGAAUCUGCCUAUAAGCGGGGGAUAACAUUCGGAAACGGGUGCUAAUACCGCAUAAUAUCUUCUUCCGCAUGGAAGAAGAUUGAAAGACGGCUCUGCUGUCACUUAUAGAUGACCUUGCGGUGCAUUAGUUAGUUGGUGGGGUAACGGCCUACCAAGACGAUGAUGCAUAGCCGACCUGAGAGGGUGAUCGGCCACAUUGGGACUGAGACACGGCCCAAACUCCUACGGGAGGCAGCAGUAGGGAAUCUUCCGCAAUGGGCGAAAGCCUGACGGAGCAAUGCCGCGUGAGUGAAGAAGGCCUUCGGGUCGUAAAACUCUGUUAUAAGAGAAGAACAAAUUGUAGAGUAACUGCUACAGUCUUGACGGUAUCUUAUCAGAAAGCCACGGCUAACUACGUGCCAGCAGCCGCGGUAA